CGUUCCCGGGCCUUGUACACACCGCCCGUCACACCAUGGGAGUUGGUUUUACCCGAAGCCGGUGUGCUAACCCGCAAGGGAGGUAGCCGACCACGGUAAGGUCAGCGACUGGGGUG
rnacentral:rRNA from 1 species